rnacentral:rRNA from 1 species
AUUGAACGCUGGCGGCAGGCCUAACACAUGCAAGUCGAACGGUAACAGGAAGAAGCUUGCUUCUUUGCUGACGAGUGGCGGACGUGUGAGUAAUGUCUGUGAAACUGCCUGAUGGAGGGGGAUAACUACUGGAAACGGUAGCUAAUACCGCAUAACUUCGCAAGACCAAAGAGGGGGACCUUCGGGCCUCUUGCCAUCGGCUGUGCCCAGAUGGGAUUCGCUAGUAGGUGGGGUAACGGCUCACCUCGGCGACGAUCACUAGCUGGUCUGAGAGGAUGACCAGCCACACUGGAACUGAGACACGGUCCAGACUCCUACGGGAGGCAGCAGUGGGGAAUAUUGCACAAUGGGCGAAAGCCUGAUGCAGCCAUGCCGCGUGGAUGAAGAAGGCCUUCGGGUUGUAAAGUACUUUCAGCGGGGAGGAAGGGAGUAAAGUUAAUACCUUUACUCAUGGACGUUACCCGCAGAAGAAACACCGGCUAACUCCGU